UUUUCUUUUCCUUUGAUUUUCUGAAUCUAACGCACUCUUCUCCUUCGCUCGUUUGUUCGUUUGUGCUUGUUUGGAGAUGGGAAGCAGAGGGCGCGGACGGGGACGAGGACGAGGUGGAGGCUUUUCUACAUUUGCCACUCAAACUCCAUUUGUACUUUACCCUGAGGAUGUUACUUUGCCCGAUGCUAAAAUUGAUGAUAUUGGUCCUAACGUGAAAAAGUUGCUUAGUUGGAGUUUUAAGCUUCAGAAUUAUUGGAAAGCCUCUCCCUAUCUUCUCCAGGAGACAACCUCUAAGAAGUCUCAAAGGAUGCACAUAGCUAGAUUUUCUGACAAGAAGAGGACCGGUUUUACUCGUGAUUCUCUGUCGCAGGUUUUAAUGUUCGAUGAUUUUCCUCAGGAGUUGGUUCAAGGUUUGUCUAAGCGGAUGAAAAGGAGAAAAAAAUUUCGAUGGAACCCAGAGUCAGAGACGAAGACCAUUGAUUUCUUUGAACAACAAGAGGAAACAAACAAGCAGUCAUGGUUGCGGUGCAAGCAGAUGUUGUCUGCACACCCAGAUGCUGUUGCUGCUGCCGCAACUUAGGCAGAUGUUGCUGUCCUUCAUUUCAAACUCUGGUGGACUUCUUCUACUCUUUGAGGGCAAAGAGGAUGCAGAUGAAAAGAAAGAUGGAGAAGAUGAAGAUGAAGAUGAAAAUGCAGAGGAAGAUGAAGAAGAUUUAAGUGAUGAUGAUUAUAAUCAGAAUGAAUAUUUUGAUGACGACGAAGAUGAUUAUAAUGACGUAGAUGACGGGGAUGAUGAACCUAUCUAUUAAGAUAUCUAUAAGGGGAGUGAUCUUCUGGAUCUUCUGCUCAUCCUGUGGCAGCUAUACUAUCAUGGACUAUUGCUUCUUUAGUGUUACAAGUUGGGAAUUCAAAUUCUACGUUAGCCUUUUCUGGCUUUUACUUGGCCACUAUUUUUAACUUAUUCAAUUACA